rnacentral:rRNA from 1 species
AGUGAACGCUGGCGGUAGGCCUAACACAUGCAAGUCGAACGGCAGCACAGUAAGAGCUUGCUCUUACGGGUGGCGAGUGGCGGACGGGUGAGGAAUACAUCGGCAUCUACUUUUUCGUGGGUGAUAACGUAGGGAAACUUACGCUAAUACCGCAUACGACCUACGGGUGAAAGCAGGGGAUCUUCGGACCUUGCGCGAUUGAAUGAGCCGAUGUCGGAUUAGCUAGUUGGCGGGGUAAAGGCCCACCAAGGCGACGAUCCGUAGCUGGUCUGAGAGGAUGAUCAGCCACACUGGAACUGAGACACGGUCCAGACUCCUACGGGAGGCAGCAGUGGGGAAUAUUGGACAAUGGGCGCAAGCCUGAUCCAGCAAUACCGCGUGGGUGAAGAAGGCCUUCGGGUUGUAAAGCCCUUUUGUUGGGAAAGAAAAGCAGCAGGUUAAUACCCCGCUGUUCUGACGGUACCCAAAGAAUAAGCACCGGCUAACUUCGUG